rnacentral:lncRNA from 1 species
CAUUUAUGUUGUUAUUAAGAUGUAUAGGUAUAUAUAAAUAAGUAUUAAGUAUAUAUUUUUGUAUAUUAAUUACGUAUUAAUAAUAACUCAAGCCAACAAACUUAAAUGCUAAUGUUAAAGCCGGAUUCGAAAACAGCUUUGCUAGCAAAAUGUGCAUUCUAUUUAUCAAGCGCUUGAGUGUGACCAUAGUCGUGAGCUGCAUGCUUUUCCGAAAUAAAAACGUAUUGUUUGAUUGGUGGCUCUUGUAUUAGCGGAGGAGUAGAACGAUCAACGAAAAAAGCGCCAAAUACCACGAGUAAGUCCAAUUUUAAAUGCGGGAAAGAAACAAAACGGGAAAGUAAUUUCUCAUAGUUGUAGCAUACUAGCUAUAGAUAUGUAUGUAUGACUCAAUGGCCAUCAGUUUUCUUUGAGUAUUUGCAUAUGUCUGAGAAGAACUUCUACAGUUUUUUUUUGGGAUUGGUGGAGCAGUACUUAGUCACGUAACGGAAUACAAAUUAAAAAUUAAUCAAACUAAAAUGAAAAAAAAACUCCAUAUAUUCUCAUUUAUAUGUAAGAUUUGUUUCAACUUUUUGCCUUUUUCUUUUUUUCCGUAGGAAUAUUAUCCUUGACUGAAAAUGUAGCGAAUAUGAGAACUGGAUUUCAAUCAACAAGUUGAGAUCCGAGUACGGCCCGCCGUCCAUUUUCUGGCAAAUAGUUUUUGCUCGCAAAUAUGUCUAAUCGAAUUCAUACGAAUGUUGCAUCUGAUUUUUCUAGCGGACUCUUUUUUCGGAUUUGAGGCUAUGCCUAAUCCUGUCGUCCCUGUGGUCCUUCAAACUCACCAAGAUCCCCAGCACCCGGCGAAAUAUAUAUGUACACGUAUAGUUUAAUGGCUAGCAACGUUUUUGACCUAAUUUCUGAAUGAGUUUCAUCAUAUUCCAUAUCUCCAACUCUCCGUUUUUUAUGUACACUUUUGCACUACUGCCCAAAUUUGCUUCAGCUCCUGAACGAUCCAGGCUUCUCCUCUGAAGAAAUUUCAGCAACUUUCUCAGCGCUCUGUGGAUCUCCAUACUUCCAUUUAUGCCAUUAAUUCGGCGCAAAGUUCAUAUUAGCAUAUAUUCCAAACCAACCAACCAAUUUCGCUGUAGCAAUUAAAUAACAAAAAAACAAAAAAUUAAAUAAAAGCAAAAUGAGGUCAUGAAAAAUAACUUAGCUUAUGGUGAAUUGAUACAUCAAAUACAAUGUCGUAAACAGUAGCAGUCUUACGUUUUAUGCUAAUUUAUUUUGUAUUAAUUUUUUUAUUUUCAAACUUCAUUUGCAAACAUUCAAACAAAAGGAUGUCGUGAAAACUAGCCAAUCUUGUGGAGAAUUUAUUGAUAAAUCGGAUAAAAUUAUAGUUUUAGCGCGUAGACUUCUAACUAGCUAGUAAUAUCGAAAAGAACAUCAAAAUCGAACAUAAAAAAAUGAUUUAAGAUUUACGGUAUAUUUUUAAAAUGAGAAGGUAUAUUUUGGUAUAUUUUUGAGGGUCUGACGGUAUAUUUUAUCGAUAGUUUCGCGGUCACACUGCACACAUAAAAUUCAAAAUUGGUCCGAGCGGUUGUGGCGGCGCGAGAUAAAUUGAAAAACUUUAAAAGCAAGUGAAAACAAAAAUAACGCGAAUGUGUUUUCUGAAAAUCAACUCGGCAAGGAAAAAAUUAAAAAAAAAAGCCGUUGAUUUCGUUUGUAAUGUAUACAAAUAACGGUGAAUAAUAAAUAAAUGAUCAAAUCCCUAUCUUAUCUAGGUGGUACUAUAUAAAAACAAUCCUGUGUUAAGUACAAAAAAAAGGGGGAUCUUGUGGUUGGGCUGGUGCGUCGAUU